rnacentral:rRNA from 1 species
AUUGAACGCUGGCGGCAUGCUUUACACAUGCAAGUCGAACGGUAACAGGCCGCCAGGUGCUGACGAGUGGCGGACGGGUGAGUAAUGCAUCGGAACGUGCCCAGUCGUGGGGGAUAACUACUCGAAAGAAUAGCUAAUACCGCAUACGAUCUGUGGAUGAAAGCGGGGGGCCGUAAGGCCUCGCGCGCUUGGCAAGACUGAUUUCCGAUUAGGUAGUUGGUGGGGUAAAGGCUCACCAAGCCAACAAUCUGUAGCUGGUCUGAGAGGACAAGCAGCCACACGAGAACUUAGACACGCCCCAGACUCCUACGGGAGGGAGCAGUGGCGAAUGUGGGACAACGGGCGCAAGCCUGAUCCAGCAAUGCCGCGCGCAGUAAGAAGGCCCUCGGUGUGUAAUCUCCUUUUGUACGGAACGAAACGGCUCUGGUUAAUACCCGGCGCUAAUGACGGUACCGUAAUAAUAAGCACCGGCUAACUACGUG